UCUCUUUGGCAGGAAAUGGAUAUUUAACUAUGAUUUCUCGCGUCAGGAACGUCAAUAGCAAGCCCUUCAGUUUCUCCUUUGCGUACCAUACUUAUUACUCUGUCUCUGAUAUCAGGUCCGUAACUAAAUGCGAUCUUCACAACAUACCUUUGACAUAAAAGAUUAGAAUGUUGAAUAAAAGAUAAAGUGAAUUUCACAUCAAUUUCUUAUGGUAAUUUUCUACUAUUUGCAAUAUUUGAGUAAGCACGUUAAUCUAAAAAUCUCUUACUUACUACUAUUGGCAGUGAAGUGAGGGUGGAAGGAUUAGAAACUCUUGAUUACCUGGACAACUUGCACAACCAAAAACGCUUCACAGAACAAGGAGAUGCUUUGACAUUUGAAUCAGAGGUGAGACAACCGAGUACAUGUUUCUUUUUUGAUAUUUCUCUAGGAUUCCCUUUUUUUUGUAAUCAAUGUCGGCUACUCUUUU
rnacentral:lncRNA from 1 species